GGAGUCUGGGCCGUAUCUCAGUCCCAAUGUGGCCGUUCAACCUCUCAGUCCGGCUACACAUCCUUGCCUUGGUGGGCUGUUAUCUCACCAACUAGCUAAUGUGCCGCAGGUCCAUCUAAGAGUGGUGCAAACGCGCCUUUCAAGCGGAAAUCAUGCGAUCUCCGUUGUUAUCCGGUAUUAGCCGAACUUUCGCUCGGGUAUCCCAGUCUCAAAGGCAGGUUACCUACGUGUUACUCACCCGUUCGCCGCUCGGUAGCAAGCUACCUCGCUCGACUUGCAUGUAUUAGGCACGCCGCCAGCGUUCAUC
rnacentral:rRNA from 1 species